GUACAAUAGUACACCGGUUCGCAAAGGGCGGCUCCCCCCCAUCCCUGCGAGAAAGGGGGUGACGCGAUGACGGUAUACCAAGCGUUGAGUCUGAUGCUGACGUUCGGUACCCUGGUUGUCUUGCUCCUGACGAACAAAAAGAAGUAGGCCGCGCGUGAGUCCGACAGCUCCGCAACCUACUCCUCUUCCAACGGGCCGUUCCCUUUGCGGAAACGUCUAUUGUGCGAUGACCGGAGCGCGGCAACGCUUCGG
rnacentral:sRNA from 1 species